GGUUGUUUCUGCAGCUCUGCCUCAGGGGGACUCGAACUGAACCGGAGAUGGAUUUUAAAGGAUGUUCGCUCCUCAUUCUCUCGCUUCCUUCAGGACCGAACAUCUGACCUGAGAUCUGUUCUGAGCUGUUGAUCGAGUCCCGAGCUGAAACAUGUGACCCCGACAGGUGAGAGACAUGCAACAUGGGCCGGGAUGGAGAGAGUCACACGUCACGUCGCACAACAACCUGCGAGGAUCCAGGACACACGGAGCUGCCUGAGGAUCCCCUUCCUUCUGCUCUAUGCUGCUGUAGACGCCUCGGCCCGGAGCAGAGUGUGUGUGUGUGUGUGAAAGGGGACCCCCCCCCACCCCACACCCCC